rnacentral:rRNA from 1 species
UGCAGUCGACGGCAGCGGGGGCUUCGGCCCGCCGGCGAGUGGCGAACGGGUGAGUAAUGCAUCGGAACGUACCCAGUCGUGGGGGAUAACUACGCGAAAGCGUAGCUAAUACCGCAUACGCCCUGAGGGGGAAAGCGGGGGACCUUCGGGCCUCGCGCGAUUGGAGCGGCUGAUGUCGGAUUAGCUAGUUGGUGGGGUAAAGGCCUACCAAGGCGACGAUCCGUAGCUGGUCUGAGAGGAUGAUCAGCCACACUGGGACUGAGACACGGCCCAGACUCCUACGGGAGGCAGCAGUGGGGAAUUUUGGACAAUGGGCGCAAGCCUGAUCCAGCCAUGCCGCGUGAGUGAAGAAGGCCUUCGGGUUGUAAAGCUCUUUCAGACGGAAAGAAAUCGGGCGCGUGAAUAGCGUGCCUGGAUGACGGUACUGUCAGAAGAAGCACCGGCUAACUACGUGCCAGCAGCCGCGGUAAUACGUAGGGUGCGAGCGUUAAUCGGAAUUACUGGGCGUAAAGCGUGCGCAGGCGGUUGUGUAAGACAGGUGUGAAAUCCCCGGGCUUAACCUGGGAACUGCGCUUGUGACUGCACGGCUAGAGUACGGCAGAGGGGGGUGGAAUUCCACGUGUAGCAGUGAAAUGCGUAGAUAUGUGGAGGAACACCGAUGG